rnacentral:rRNA from 1 species
AUUGAACGCUGGCGGCAGGCCUAACACAUGCAAGUCGAACGAGUGGCGGACGGGUGAGUAAUGUCUGGGAAACUGCCUGAUGGAGGGGGAUAACUACUGGAAACGGUAGCUAAUACCGCAUACCAUCGGAUGUGCCCAGAUGGGAUUAGCUAGUAGGUGGGGUAAAGGCUCACCUAGGCGACGAUCCCUAGCUGGUCUGCGAGGAUGACCAGCCACACUGGAACUGAGACACGGUCCAGAUUCCUACGGAGGGUAGCAGUGGGGAAUAUUGCACAAGGGGCGCAAGCCUGAUGCAGCCAUGCCGGGUGUAUGAAGAGGGCCUUCGGGUUGUAAAGUACUUUCAGCGGGGAGGCGUUACCCGCAGAAGAAGCACCGGCUAACUCCGUGCCAGCCGCCGGGUAAUUC